ACGAGCUGUUUGCCGAUGCUGCUGCUAGUAAAGAGCUUGACAAGUGCUGCCGGCGCAGCGUCGAGCCCCUCAACGACAUCCUCUGUGUAUGCCACCUUCCCUUCCUUCAGGUACCCGGCAAUCUGCUCCUCGAUCUGGUAGUACAUAUCAUAGAAGUCAAACACAAGGAAUCCCUGCAUGCGUAGGCGCUUGGUGACGAUGCAAAUCAUGUUAUACACUCCCUCCGGCUGCUCCAGGUUGUACUGUGAGAUCAUCCCGCAUGCCGCUAUGCGGCCAGCUACCCGCAUGUUAGGUAGCACUGCGUCUAGCAUUGCACCACCUACAUUCUCGAAGUAGAUGUCGAUACCAUCUGGAAAACACCUGAGACAAGCCAAAUCAGCGGCUCCUUCUUGUAGUUGAAAGCAUCGUCAAAGCCAAAUUUGGUCUAUUAGAUUAUACAAACCUUUUCAUCAGAACCAGCACUACCAACCACGUAGCAUCCUGUGAUCUUAGCAAGCUGCCCAACAAUCUGACCUACGGCGCCGAAUGCUGAUGAGAUGAAGACAUAUUCACCUUUCUUUGGCUUGGCCACUUCAAAGAAUCCACCAUAGGCAGUAAGCCCUGGCAUUCC
rnacentral:sRNA from 1 species